CCUACGGGAGGCAGCAGUGAGGAAUAUUGGUCAAUGGGCGAGAGCCUGAACCAGCCAAGUCGCGUGAGGGAGUACUGCCCUAUGGGUUGUAAACCUCUUUUGUCGGGGAGCAAACUCCGGACGUGUCCGGCUGUUAGAUUACCCGAAGAAACAGCAUCGGCUAACUCCGUGCCAGCAGCCGCGGUAAUACGGGGGAUGCAAGCGUUAUCCGGAUUGAUUGGGUUUAAAGGGUGCGUAGGCUGUGAGGUAAGUCAGCGGUGAAAUGCCCCCGCUCAACGGGGUGAAGUGCCAUUGAUACUGCCGUGCUGGAAUGCGGAUGCCGUGGGAGGAAUGUGGGGUGUAGCGGUGAAAUGCAUAGAGAUCACACAGAACACCGAUUGCGAAGGCAUCUCACGAAGCCGCGAUUGACGCUGAUGCACGAAAGCGUGGGUAUCAAACAGGAUUAGAUACCCCUGUAGUC
rnacentral:rRNA from 1 species